rnacentral:tRNA from 1 species
GGGAAUGUGGCUUAGUGGUAGAGUGCUUGCCUAGUGCGCAUGAAGCCCUGGGUUCAAUUCCUUAGCAUCA